rnacentral:rRNA from 1 species
GAUCCUGGCUCAGGACGAACGCUGGCGGCGCGCCUAACACAUGCAAGUCGAACGGAGUUAAUCUUUCUGAAGUUUUCGGAUGGACGAGAUUUUAACUUAGUGGCGAACGGGUGAGUAACACGUGAGCAACCUGCCCUUUAGUGGGGGACAACAGUUGGAAACGACUGCUAAUACCGCAUAAGACCACGGUACGGCAUCAUACAGUGAUCAAAGGAUUUAUUCGCUAGAGGAUGGGGCUCGCGUCCGAUUAG